UUAGUGGAAGCGUCUGGAAAGGCGCGCGAUACAGGGUGACAGCCCCGUACACAAAAGCGCAUGUGCUGUGAGCUCGAUGAGUAGGGCGGGACACGUGGUAUCCUGUCUGAAUAUGGGGGGACCAUCCUCCAAGGCUAAAUACUCCUGACUGACCGAUAGUGAACCAGUACCGUGAGGGAAAGGCGAAAAGAACCCCGGCGAGGGGAGUGAAAAAGAACCUGAAACCGUGUACGUACAAGCAGUGGGAGCCCCACCACCAAAGCAUUCUCUGGUGUUGAAGGCCCUGCAAAGCAGCAUCGCGGUGGCGGAGCGUCGUUUGCGACGCCCAACACACAAAACAAGCGGUGAGUGCUUUGGGGUGGGGUGACUGCGUACCUUUUGUAUAAUGGGUCAGCGACUUAUAUUCUGUAGCAAGGUUAACCGAAUAGGGGAGCCGGAGGGAAACCGAGUCUUAAYYGGGCGUUAAGUUGCAGGGUAUAGACCCGAAACCCGGUGAUCUAGCCAUGGGCAGGUUGAAGGUUGGGUAACACUAACUGGAGGACCGAACCGACUAAUGUUGAAAAAUUAGCGGAUGACCUGUGGCUGGGGGUGAAAGGCCAAUCAAACCGGGAGAUAGCUGGUUCUCCCCGAAAGCUAUUUAGGUAGCGCCUCGUGAAUUCAUCUCCGGGGGUAGAGCACUGUUUCGGCUAGGGGGCCAUCCCGGCUUACCAACCCGAUGCAAACUGCGAAUACCGGAGAAUGUUAUCACGGGAGACACACGGCGGGUGCUAACGUCCGUCGUGAAGAGGGAAACAACCCAGACCGCCAGCUAAGGUCCCAAAGUCAUGGUUAAGUGGGAAACGAUGUGGGAAGGCCCAGACAGCCAGGAUGUUGGCUUAGAAGCAGCCAUCAUUUAAAGAAAGCGUAAUAGCUCACUGGUCGAGUCGGCCUGCGCGGAAGAUGUAACGGGGCUAAACCAUGCACCGAAGCUGCGGCAGCGACAGGGUGAGUCGACCCCUAAGGCGAGGCCGAAAGGCGUAGUCGAUGGGAAACGGGUUAAUAUUCCCGUACUUGGUGUUACUGCGAAGGGGGGACGGAGAAGGCUAUGUUGGCCGGGCGACGGUUGUCCCGGUUUAAGCGUGUAGGUGUGUGUUCCAGGUAAAUCCGGUUCACUUUAACACUGAGGCGUGAUGACGAGGCACUACGGUGCUGAAGCAACAAAUGCCCUGCUUCCAGGAAAAGCCUCUAAGCAUCAGGUAACAUCAAAUCGUACCCCAAACCGACACAGGUGGUCAGGUAGAGAAUACCAAGGCGCUUGAGAGAACUCGGGUGAAGGAACUAGGCAAAAUGGUGCCGUAACUUCGGGAGAAGGCACGCUGACA
rnacentral:rRNA from 1 species